GCUGAAAUAGCUCAGUUGGGAGAGUGUUAGACUGAAGAUCUAAAGGUCUCAGCA
rfam:Nomascus leucogenys chromosome 15, whole genome shotgun sequence.